rnacentral:rRNA from 1 species
GACGAACGCUGGCGGCGUGCUUAACACAUGCAAGUCGAACGGAAAGGCCCUGCUUUUGUGGGUUGCUCGAUUGGGGAACGGGUGAGUAACACGUGAGUAACCUCCCCUUGACUUUGGGGUAACUUCAGGAAACUGGGGCUAAUACCGGAUAGGAUCUCCUGCUGCAUGGGGGGGGUUGGAAAUUUUCGGCGGUUGGGGAUGGACUCGCGGCUUAUCAGCUUGUUGGGGGGGUAGGGGCUUACCAAGGCUUUGACGGGUAGCCGGCCUGAGAGGGUGACCGGCCACAUUGGGACUGAGGUACGGCCCAGACUCCUACGGGAGGCAGCAGUGGGGAAUAUUGCACAAUGGGCGGAAGCCUGAUGCAGCAACGCCGCGUGCGGGAUGACGGCCUUCGGGUUGUAAACCGCUUUCGCCUGUGACGAAGCGUGAGUGACGGUAAUGGGUAAAGAAGCACCGGCUAACUACGUG